GAUGAACGCUAGCGGCAGGCUUAAUACAUGCAAGUCGAGGGGCAGCAUGAGUAGCAAUAUAGAGGCUGGCGACCGGCAAACGGGUGCGGAACACGUACACAACCUUCCUUUAAGAGGAGGAUAGCCCAUAGAAAUGUGGAUUAAUACCCCGUAACAUAUCGGUGUGGCAUCACACUGUUAUUAUAGUUUCGACGCUUGAAGAUGGGUGUGCGGCUGAUUAGGUAGUUGGCGGGGUAAAGGCCCACCAAGCCUUCGAUCAGUAGCUGAUGUGAGAGCAUGAUCAGCCACACGGGCACUGAGACACGGGCCCGACUCCUACGGGAGGCAGCAGUAAGGAAUAUUGGUCAAUGGACGCAAGUCUGAACCAGCCAUGCCGCGUGAAGGAUGAAGGUCCUCUGGAUUGUAAACUUCUUUUAUAGGGGGCGAAAAAAGGGAAUUCUUUCUCACUUGACAGUACCCUAUGAAUAAGCACCGGCUAACUCCGUGCCAGCCGCCGCUGUAA
rnacentral:rRNA from 1 species